CGGGUCUUGUACACACCGCCCGUCAAACCAUGGGAGUGGAUUGCACCCAAAGACGCAACGCGGCGUCAAUGCCGCCUGCGUUUAAGGUGUGGUUCAUGACUGGGGUUAAGUCGUAACAAGGUAACUGUACCGGAAGGUGCGGUUGGAUCACCUCCUUU
rnacentral:rRNA from 1 species